AUUGAACGCUGGCGGCAGGCCUAACACAUGCAAGUCGAACGAGCGGCGGCCGGGUGAGUAAUGUCUGGGAAACUGCCUGAUGGAGGGGGGUAACUCCUGGAAACGGUAGCUCAUACCGCAUAACAUCAGAUGAACCACUAUGGUAUUAGCGUGUAGGUGAGGUAAUGGCUCACUGAGGCGACGAUCCCUAGCUGGUCUGAGAGGAUGAGCAGCCACACUGGGACUGAGACACGGCCCAUACUCCUACGGGAGGCAGCAGUGGGGAAUAUUGCACAAUGGGCGAAAGCCUGAUGCAGCCAUGCCGCGUGUAUGAAGAAGGCCUUCGGGUUGUAAAGUACUUUCAGUCGGGAGGCGUUACCGACAGAAGAAGCACCGGCUAACUCCGUGCCAGCAGCCGCGGUAAUAC
rnacentral:rRNA from 1 species